CAAUAGCGUAUAUUAAAGUUGUUGCAGUUAAAAGCUCGUAGUUGGAUUUCUGGUGGGAGUGUUUGGCUGGCUCAAUGAGUCUUGUGCCUAUAUGCUUCUGCCAUCCUUGGGGAAACUUGCUUGGCAUUAGGUUGUCGAGUUUGGGAUCCCAUCGUUUACUGUGAAAAAUUAGAGUGUUCAAAGCAGGCUUAUGCCGUUGAAUACAUUAGCAUGGAAUAAUAAGAUAGGACCUUGGUACUAUUUUGUUGGUUUGCGUACCUAGGUAAUGAUUAAUAGGGACAGUUGGGGGUAUUCGUAUUCAAUUGUCAGAGGUGAAAUUCUUGGAUUGCGUUACGACGAACUACUGCGAAAGCAUUUGCCAAGGAUGUUUUCAUUGAUCAAGAACGAAAGUAUGGGGAUCGAAGACGAUUAGAU
rnacentral:rRNA from 1 species